UACGAAGGGGGCAAGCGUUGUUCGGAAUUAUUGGGCGUAAAGAGCUCGUAGGCGGUCUGUCGCGUCGGCUGUGAAAACUCGGGGCUCAACCCCGAGCUUGCAGUCGAUACGGGGCAGGCUAGAGUUCGGCAGGGGAGACUGGAAUUCCUGGUGUAGCGGUGAAAUGCGCAGAUAUCAGGAGGAACACCGGUGGCGAAGGCGGCUCACUGGCCCGGUACUGACGCUGAGGUGCGAAAGCGUGGGGAGCAAACAGG
rnacentral:rRNA from 1 species